rnacentral:rRNA from 1 species
UAGGGAAUUUUCGGCAAUGGGGGAAACCCUGACCGAGCAACGCCGCGUGAAGGAUGAAGGCCCUCGGGUUGUAAACUUCUGUUAUAGAGGAAGAAAAACUAUAAGAGUGGAAAGCUUAUAGUGUGACUGUACUUUAUUAGAAAGCCACGGCUAACUACGUGCCAGCAGCCGCGGUAAUACGUAGGUGGCGAGCGUUAUCCGGAAUUAUUGGGCGUAAAGAGUGAGCAGGCGGUUAUUUAAGUCUGAAGUGAAAUGGCAUUGCUUAACGGUGUCAGGCUUUGGAAACUGGAUGACUAGAGAACAGGAGAGGUUAGUGGAAUUCCAUGUGUAGCGGUGAAAUGCGUAGAUAUAUGGAGGAACACCAGUGGCGAAGGCGACUAACUGGCCUGUGACUGACGCUGAGUCACGAAAGCGUGGGGAGCAAAUA